CCUUUUCCGACAAUAAGGGCCAUUUGCCUCAGUUACUAGAAAGCUAAUAAUAGGAACAGACCGAUUUCGACCAUAUUAUAUUCGACCACUUUUUCCUAGUACCUUUAAUGGACAUUUACUAAAGAUAAACCUAGCGUUUACCUAUAUGUUUCAAGGGCUAUAGAUGAAUUCGCUAAAACUAUCCAAACGCUCCCCGGUAAGUCAUGUUUACAUGUUUUUGUUUUACGCAAUAGAUUGCUUUUUUUGGGGUCUUCUUCUUCUGCUUCGAGAACGGUUUCCUACAGUUAAGCCCUUCAUGGAAUUAGAUAAAAGCGUUUUUGUGACUGGGAGCAACUGUUCGUAGCACGUAGAGCGUUAUUACGCAAAAGGUCGCUCUGACAUUUUCUAUUAGACAUGACGCAUAGUGCGUUAUACUCAUAUGGAACGCCUAUCCAUGUUCCUGUUUCUCGUCCUUCUCAGUUGGUUUUUAGUUUUUUCGAAAAUCGCAAGAACACAGUAUCUCCUCGCAUCUUCCUACCUUCGCACCUAGGUCACGCCGCUCUGGUUAAAUCCUGUCGCCUGGCGUAAGCAAAUUACUGUUACAACGGUGUCCGACUGUGGGGAAUCUCGUCAUACCCGAAGUAGAAGCAUUUCGAUGGAAUCACCCAGCUAAAGUUCUCAAAUGCUUGCGCCUACCGCUUUAUGUCGAUGGUGAAACCAACGAAAGUCCGAAAAAGCGAAAAGAAGGCCAAUCUAUCCUGGAUCGAUUUCAUUGUUCAUUUACAUGAUUCUUUUCCCCAUGUAGCUAUUUCGCCAGUUGAGCAUCUGUCUCGCUUCCGCAAGAGGUAUUGACUUUUGUAGAGCGACACGUUCCAGCUUUAGAAGACAAAGAUCAUCAAAUGGCGCGGGCGAGAUGUGCCGUCAGGAGCCAUUGCAGGACAAAUGGGCUAGAGGAUUUUUUUUCUAAAUAAAGUUUGUUUUUAUUUCACGUGAAACAGGUACGUAUUAUAGAUAAGUUAUUAGCAAAUUUGAACUAGAGGUCCAAUCAAUCAAACUUUGACAGCUAUCCAUGACGACUAUUUAUUGAAUUUAAUGGCCGUUUGUAAUAUAAUCAAUGGUCGUAGGAUAUUGUCAUGUGAGCACAUAAAAUCUGCGCGUAAUGUGUUAUGGUAACACUAGCACAACUAUAGGGGUGCAAGAGCGAGCACUCUUUUCGUUCUCGUUAAAAAUUGCGCGUAUAUAAUGUUAAGAUUCUAAAAAUAUGCAACAUAGAUAAACAAAGGAAACAACAAAAGUCCAAGUUUCCACUUUACCACUUCUUUAUUAUCAAGCAUGUGAUAGUUGUUUAGUGAUAAUACAUCAUUUAAUUACUUUUUUAUUAUUAAAAAACAUAUACCAUGUUCAUCAUUACCACUGUUUUGCCUAGUAUCAAAAUCAAUAACAAUACAGGUUACGACUCGCCCGGAUUCACAAUCCCGCCAGCCCUACACAGUCUUCUGCUCGGGCUCCUCCUGAUGCCUCGUCCUGCGUUACUCUAAUACGAUCAGUAAGUCAGCAAUGCAAACCAUUCAUUAGAAUUAAUAGAAGAGGAAGCUUCAAAGCUAAAUCAGCGGGCAAAACUGCUACAGUGGUACCCGAUGACGACACCUUGCAGCUAUUGCUGUUGUUACAGAUAUGUAGACGUACAAACUAACAAAAACCGCUUCCCGUCAACUGUAAAUAAAAUAAAUGAGACGUUCUGUACAUCGGCGGGGCGAGCUGUAAGGACAAACAGGACAAAAAAGCCAGUACCCAAUAGCCGGGUCGACCUGAACGUUUGCCGUAUGCGAGUGCAACGCGCCAUUGAACGUGGGGCGUGCUAUGUGUUUGAUGCGUUCGGACUUUGGGACGACGCUUAGCAAAAUAUUUGGCUCAGAUAAUGCACCAAAGUAAUUUGAUGUGAGUAAGAACACAUCGAAGUGAGCCGCAUGCACCAGCCAGUUACUUGACUCAGUAAUACUUAUUGGGCCACGACUUGUUUACCCCACGAGAUAUAGACCUUGAACCACUUUUGCCCUACCCUGUAUGUAUACAUAUACUAUGUAUGUAUACUUUCAAUCUUCUUUGGUCCCGGCAUCUGGUAUCGAUGAUGCCAUUGUUUUGACAUAUAGGCACCGCUUAAUUCAAUUAUGGUCUUGUAUCGGUGAGCCAGUGUAUUCGGACUGUGCUAAUGGAAGUAAUAUAACGAUAAGCCGGCGACGUCGAUAAAAUACGUUAUGGCAACGAGAAGGGGCUUCGUUCAUGUUGACGUUUACUACAUCUAAUGUAAAUAAGAACAGGUAAUCACGACGAAGUACAUAACACUCGAAUCAGGCUGCACUAGUACUAUCGAGUUUCCUCAUUUCGCUCGUUCGUAGCUAUGAGCGCAAACGUUUUCCACUCCUAUCGGUAAUACGUUGUGUUCGCUAUAUGUUACUAUCCAUGUAUUACGUAAUCAUGACCAAUAAGCAUUUUUUAUUUAAAUACGUUUCCGUCCAUUAGACUAAACAACUUAUUGGCACCUUCCAAAUUAUCCAUUAGGUCAACAGUGAUUUAACCGCUAAAUUCAAAUUGAAAUAUCUACAGAUAGCACCUGCUAUUCUGAAUGUACAAUUACAAUAAUUUCUGUACAUGUCACCAUAUAAUAUGAUCCUUUGAUUAAGACGAUGCUUUUUCGUUCUAGGAUUAUUAGCGAUUUUGUAGUCUCUGGGAUGAAGGUGUUUCCUCUUGUGGCGAUUGCAGCUGAUACGCUAGGGAGCAAAAAUGCCCUGUCAAAUAGCACGUUUUCGAAAUCGAUACUGUUUGAAACUAGGUCAUCAUGCCCCAAUACCGCGCAUCAUCUGCAACUUUUUAUUUUAAUUUAAAAGAAUUAUGGAUUCCUUUAAAGGAAAAUUAUUAAAUAAUGAUAAAUUAUGCUACAUUAAAUAACAAUACGUGUUUGACAUGUAUUUUUCUCUCAUAAAAUAUUUGUGGGUUUUCGUUACAAUUAGAGGCGACAGUUUGAUUAUCUAUAAAACCAUUGUUCAAGAUGCUUUUGAUGAAAAACCCAUCGUUCGUUUGUUGUUCUGACGAGCUCUCUUUACCAGCUAUGUUGUUCCGUACGUAAUUCCUAUCAUGUUGUUUUAUUCUAUGUCGAAACUGUUAUUGUUAAUUUAUUAAAGCAGAAAGCCAAUAUUCUAUUUGGAAUUUAAAUUUUUCGCUCCUUUGGGGGACCUAUACUUGAUACGAUAUAAUAAUACUGAUCUAAUCGAAGGUAUAAUAGUAGACUGUGUGUCAGAUAUGAUAGCUGUUGUUGCAGCAUUGCUAUUACAUGUAAUUUAGCCACUAGAAGUACCAGCCAGACUACGCCUCCAUGUAGGUAUAAAUCUUUGAUGCUAUGCUUAAAAGGUGAUUCGAAGGAUUUGUUCACGCAGGAAAAAUAGGUGAAGGUGAACAGCAGAAAGAGUCCCUAGCAAUAGGGACUGUUAAAAACAACAGAUACGUGUAUGUUUUCAUGAUAACCGCGAAAAGUCAGCCAACGAAUAGGCAACGUAUUGCCGCUUUUCGCCUUGACACAAUAGUGUGUUAGAGACAGUACAAGUUCUGUCUUUUGUAUAUUCUCAAGUAACAUAUGAUGAAUCGCAUGACAAAUCAUACUCAUGUGAAUAAUAUGGUAUUAACAAUUCAAGUUUGAGGAAGUUGAAAAAUAGUAGCACAGGUUAGGCUAGAUUUAUUACACAUAUUUGUUUAUUAACUUGCAGUUAUUUUGAGCUGCAUCUGUAAAAGUUUCAUCCUUCUCAUAAGAUAUUUCUUUAAUGUUUCAUAGAAACUUAGGUAUGGCCUUUCCUAAGCUAACGUUGGUAUAACAAGCAAAAAACCGACAAAACGUACUCAGUCCGAAAGGACAAAUGACGCAUGGAUUGUUUUGUUUAGUACGCAAUUAAAGGCAGAUUUCAGAGAGGCGCACAGCUGCCAGCCGGAAGAACGCUAAAUUCGUUUAAUUAGCAUACGACGGGUUCUCUUAGGAAUAAAGGGCUAGAAAAAUCAUUCAGAGCAGACUGGGCAGAAACACUGCAGGCUUAGAAGAUUGCUGCAGAAAAGAUACCGAUUUCCUCACUGCGGUAUGCUUACAUUUUCAAGGGCGACCGCUGCAUAAGUCAUUUGUGCGAUUUCACAGAUCUACUGAAGAUAAUUUCCAUACGUCUUGACUAUUGCAGAUUAUCGCAUAGCGGACUAAAUAAAACAUCAGUCGUAGCGCAGAGGAGCGACGUCAACAUUCAGCGACGCCAUUAUGCUUUAGCGUAACUUCUUAGAGGUCCCCGAUGAAAAGACGGUUGUCCGCACCUACGAAAGAUAUUCUUCAGGUCGCAAACCUACGCUUCGUGAUGCUGCGAUUCGUAGAAAGAAGGACCAACAAAUGGUGAAUAGUAAUGAGGAGAGAGUGAAAGCAAGGGACGCAAAGACUUCGUCGUAAGUGCUUCGUGUUAAUGGAGGGAAGUUGGGCAGGCGUCUGUGAGCGGGAAUGUGGCCCGUCGACGAACGAAAACAACGAACGAUUGCUUAUCCGGUUUUUCCAAAGCGGUAACGUGUUGGCAUCGUAUGACUCGUACGUGCUGCUUCGCACCGGAGGAAGUGCUGUGAAGCACUCCAAGAGAUUUAGGAGUUCAGGACGAACGUAGAUUGUAGGCGGCGGACCAAUGAGAGAUUCGGAUUGGUCAGAGUUGAGUCUACAGGGACCGACGUAAGAAUGUGUACGAACGUAAACCCGGAGAUGUUUCUAUAUGAGAGCGUUGUAUAUUUUGUACCCCAUGAUAGUAAUCUAAACAAUAUUGUGUGUGUAGCUUCGUUGCUUAUUGUAGACGGCUGAGCUAUUGGC
rnacentral:tRNA from 11 species